rnacentral:rRNA from 1 species
GAUUAACGCUGGCGGCGUGCAUAACACAUGCAAGUCGAACGAUGAAACUUAACUGAUUUCUUCGGAAUGAUUUUAAGUGGAUUAGUGGCGGACGGGUGAGUAACGCGUGAGUAACCUGCCUUGGAGAAGGGGAUAGCCUUUGGAAACGAAGAAUAAUACCCUAUGAUAUGAUAAUAUCUCAUGAUAUUAUCAUCAAAGAUUUAUCGCUCUAAGAUGGACUUGCGUCUGAUUAGUUAGUUGGUGAGGUAACAGCUCACCAAGGCAGCGAUCAGUAGCCGGCUUGAGAGAGUGUACGGCCACAUUGGGAGUGGGACACGGCCCAGACUCCUACGGGAGGCAGCAGUGGGGAAUUUUGCACAAUGGGGGAAACCCUGAUGCAGCGACGCCGCGUGAUUUAGAAGGCCUUCGGGUUGUAAAAAUCUUUUGUAUGGGAAGAAAAUGACAGUACCAUACGAAUAAGGACCGGCUAAUUACGUG